rnacentral:rRNA from 1 species
UACGUAGGGUGCGAGCGUUGUCCGGAAUUACUGGGCGUAAAGAGCUCGUAGGUGGUUUGUCGCGUUGUUCGUGAAAACUCACAGCUUAACUGUGGGCGUGCGGGCGAUACGGGCAGACUGGAGUACUGCAGGGGAGACUGGAAUUCCUGGUGUAGCGGUGAAAUGCGCAGAUAUCAGGAGGAACACCGGAGGCGAAGGCGGCUCACUGGGGCUUUUCUGACGCUGAGGAACGAAAGCCAGGGGAGCGAACGGG